AACGUAGGAGACAAACGUUAUCCGGAGUUACUGGGCGUAAAGGGCGUGUAGGUGGUUUUGUAAGUCUGGCGUGAAAUAUCUCGGCUUAACCGAGGCAGGUCGUCGGAUACUGCAAGACUCGAGGACGGUAGAGGCGUGUGGGAUUCCGGGUGUAGUGGUGAAAUGCGUAGAGAUCCGGAGGAACACCAGUGGCGAAGGCGACACGCUGGGCCGUACCUGACACUGAUGCGCGACAGCAUGGGGAGCAAACAGG
rnacentral:rRNA from 1 species